GAUGAAGAACGCAGCGAAAUGCGAUAAGUAAUGCGAAUUGCAGAAUUUCCGUGAGUCAUCGAAUCUUUGAACGCACAUUGCGCCCGCUAGUAUUCUGGCGGGCAUGCCUGUCCGAGCGUCAUUUCAACCUUCAAGCCCCCGGGCUUGGUGUUGGGGAUCGGCGAGCCUCCGCGCCCGCAGUCCCCUAAAUCUAGUGGCGGUCUCGCUGUAGCUUCCUCUGCGUAGUAGCACACCUCGCACUGGGAAACAGCGCGGCCACGCCGUUAAACCCCCAACUUCUGAACGUUUGACCUCGGAUCAGGUAGGAAUACCCGCUGAACUUAAGCAUAUCAAUAAGCGGAGGA
rnacentral:misc_RNA from 1 species